AGUGCCAUCAGCCAGUCGUGGGCCUCGGGGUGAGGUAGUAGGUUGUAUAGUUCAGAGUAACAUCACAGGAGAUAGCUGUACAAUCUUCUAGCUUUCCCUGAGGACCCCACACUCUCGACCGCCCCUC
rnacentral:precursor_RNA from 17 species